GACGAACGCUGGCGGCGUGCUUAACACAUGCAAGUCGAACGGAAAGGCCCUGCUUUUGUGGGGUGCUCGAGUGGCGAACGGGUGAGUAACACGUGAGUAACCUGCCCUUGACUUUGGGAUAACUUCAGGAAACUGGGGCUAAUACCGGAUAGGAGCUCCUGCUGCAUGGGGGGGGUUGGAAGGUUUCGGCGGUGGGGGAUGGACUCGCGGCUUAUCAGCUUGUUGGUGGGGUAGUGGCUUACCAAGGCUUUGACGGGUAGCCGGCCUGAGAGGGUGACCGGCCACAUUGGGACUGAGAUACGGCCCAGACUCCUACGGGAGGCAGCAGUGGAGAAUAUUGCACAAUGGGCGGAAGCCUGAUGCAGCAACGCCGCGUGCGGGAUGACGGCCUUCGGGUUGUAAACCGCUUUCGCCUGUGACGAAGCGUGAGUGACGGUAAUGGGUAAAGAAGCACCGGCUAACUACGUG
rnacentral:rRNA from 1 species